rnacentral:lncRNA from 1 species
AAUUCAUAAUUAAAAAAUAUAAAAAAAAUUAUUACAAUUAAAUCAAAAUAUUAUUAAAAAAUUUCUUUAAAAAAUAUAUAGAAAAAAUUUAAACAAAUAUUAAAUUAGUAAAAUAUUAUAUUAUUUGUUAUAUUAAAUAAAAACUCUAACAUAAAUCAAUUUCAUACACUAAAACAAAAAAAAUUAAAAAUAAUAGUCUGGACCAAUGAAUGACUGAGGGUCCU